AGUAAGAUAAACUAUGGGAAAGUUAUCAGACUCAUAAUCUGAAUAAGAGGGUUCGACUCCCUCUCUUACUA
rnacentral:tRNA from 1 species